rnacentral:rRNA from 1 species
AUGGCGACCAUCGGCGUCGUCGUCCUCCUUCUCCUCCUACUCGCGCCGACACCGUAUCUGGCGGCCGCCGAUUUCUGCGACAACGUCAAGGCCGCCGGCGCCGCGCUCUCCCGAAACGCCUCCGCUUCACCGGUACAGUUCGCCACGGCCACCAUCGGGCAGGCCCCCGACGUGGUCUACGCGCUGGCGCUCUGCCUCGGCGACGUCCUCGACAGCACCGCCUGUGGCACCUGCAUCGCCGACUGGUUCGCCACCGUAAACCAGACGCAGUGCGACAAGGUGGGCUUCAGCUACCGCGACUGCAUCGUCGUGUACGGCGCCGGCGCCGACAUCCUGGGGGCGCCCUCGAACGCCACGGGGGGAUCCGGGGACAACACGCCGCCCUUCCAGGAUUGGAACAUCAGGAACGUCACCGCCGACGACGCCCCCCGCAUCGUCAACCUCACCUUCGAGCUGCUGGCCGCGACCGCGCGGAUGGCGGCCACCACGACGCCCAAGUUGUACGCCACCGGCAUCAUGGACAUGAAAAGAGUGACAACCUACCUGGACGUGUACUCGCAGGUGCAGUGCACGCCGGACCUGUCCGCCGACGACUGCUCGGCGUGCCUGCGCCGCCUCCUCGGGAUGGUCAACUCCACCAUGUCCCUGCGCAUGGGUGGGCGGAUGGGUGUCACGCGGUGCUUUUUCAGGUACGAGGCGUUUCCUUUGUACGGCGCCCGGCCCAUGCUAAGCCUGCCGUUGUCGCCGCCGGGGCCGGCUCCGACGACUCCGACCAAACGCAGGAGCAUGCUGUGGGUGAUUCCCGUAGCUGUAGUUCCUCUAACAGCAGCAGCGUUUUUCUUCUUCAUCUGUUACCGUCGACGGCUAAAAAGGCAAAGAAAAGGAUCAAGACGUGCUCACAGUUUGGAGUGGCAAGGGAAAAAUUCGGAUUUCUCUUUGUUUGAGUUUGAACAUCUACUGGAGGCCACAAGAAAUUUUUCGGAAGAAAGCAAACUUGGGCAAGGUGGCUUCGGCGCUGUCUACAAGGGCCAGCUUCCAGAUGGGUCGGAGAUAGCGGUUAAGAGACUUGCUUCACAUUCAGGACAGGGUUUCAUGGAGUUUAAAAAUGAGGUCCAGCUCAUAGCCAAACUCCAACACACGAAUUUGGUUAGACUCUUGGGGUGUUGCUCUCAAGAAGAGGAGAAAAUACUGGUCUAUGAAUACUUGCCAAACAAAAGCUUGGAUUUCUUCAUCUUUGAUGAGAAUAAAAGAGCUUUGCUGGAUUGGACAAAACUUGCAGCAAUAAUUGAAGGGGUAGCAAACGGACUUCUCUACUUACAUAAGCACUCUCGAUUGCUUGUCAUACAUCGAGAUCUUAAACCAAGCAACAUUCUCUUGGACAGUGAAAUGAAUCCAAAAAUUUCAGAUUUCGGGCUAGCAAAAAUAUUUAGCUCAAAUGACACCGAAGGAGACAUUACAAGAAGAGUGGUUGGCACAUAUGGCUACAUGGCCCCUGAGUAUGCUUCGAAAGGAAACUUCUCUAUUAAAUCCGACAUAUUCAGCUUUGGUGUUGUCAUUCUUGAGAUCCUAAGCGGGAAACGGAAUUCUGGUACCCAACAAUGUGGAUGUUUCAUCAAUCUGCUUGGAUAUGCAUGGCAAUUAUGGGAAGAGGGAAAGUGGAUUGACCUUGUUGAUGUAUCAUUGGUUUCUGAUAGUCACUCAACAAAGAUAAUGAGGUGCAUUAACAUAGCAUUGUUGUGCGUACAAGAGAAUGCAGUUGAUCGACCAACCAUGGGAGAUAUUGUGUCAAUGCUAAGAAAUGAGACUAUGAUCUUGGCUGAGCCUAAGCAGCCAGCAUAUAUCAAUGUAAGAGUAGGAAAUGAAGAGACGUCCAUUGCUCCUGAGUCAUAUAGUAUCAAUGAUGUGAGCAUAUCAAUCACAAGUCCUAGGUAG